rnacentral:rRNA from 1 species
UACGGAGGGUGCAAGCGUUAUUCGGAAUUACUGGGCUUAAAGGGUGCGUAGGCUGUGCGGAAAGUUAGGUGUGAAAUCCCCCGGCUCAACCGGGGAAUAGCGCUUAAAACUACCGUGCUGGAGAAAGACAGAGGUGAGCGGAACUUCGGGUGGAGCGGUGAAAUGCGUUGAUAUCCGAAGGAACACCGGUGGCGAAAGCGGCUCACUGGGUCUUUUCUGACGCUGAUGCACGAAAGCUAGGGGAGCAAACGGG